rnacentral:rRNA from 1 species
UCGGGAAUUUUGCACAAUGGACGAAAGUCUGACGCAGCAACGCCGCGUGAGGGAUGACGGCCUUCGGGUUGUAAACCUCUUUUGUCAGGGAAGAUGAUGACGGUACCUGACGAAUAAGUCACGGCUAACUACGUGCCAGCAGCCGCGGUAAUACGUAGGUGACAAGCGUUGUCCGGAUUUACUGGGCGUAAAGAGCGCGCAGGCGGUCGAUCAAGUCGAGUGUGAAAGCCCCCGGCUCAACUGGGGAGGGUCAUUCGAAACUGAUCGACUCGAAGGCAGGAGAGGGAAGUGGAAUUCCCGGUGUAGUGGUGAAAUGCGUAGAUAUCACUAGGAAUAUCAAAAGCGAAGGCGAUCUGCUGGGAUGAUACUGACGCUGAGGCACGAAAGCGUGGGGAGCAAACAGGAUUAGAUACCCUGUAGUCCCUGAGCGGGCUGGCAAGGCGCAU